rnacentral:lncRNA from 1 species
GAAGCGAAGGGGCUGUGAGCGGGGCAGCGGGGACAUGCGACCCCGGUGGGGGACAGUAAACGGGCGCGAAGCAGAAGAGAAAAGCAUCGGCGGGACCCGGGCCUCCGGUAACGGCCCGGCCUGAUGGCUACUCGCAGCGGCGCGGGCCGCCUCUCCGGUGCCUGGCGUUUUGCACUUCAUGUGAAACAAUACUUGGCUUUAGAAGAGCUGUUCAGCGCCAAUGCGUUUCACAGGCAUAGGAGUUGUUCCGGAAAGCAAGGUAUGGUAUCCCCACCUGAUGGAUUCCUGUACAGUCAGCGGUGGAUACCAAUACAGUCAGCUGCCCACCAGGCAUCAGGACCAGCUUAACGCCACGCUGAAAGUCACGGUCUGUGCUUCUAGGUGGACCUCAUUAAUUUGCAUUAAGAUCUGCGGUAAAGCAUCAAAACAGCAUUUAAACAAAGCUAUAUGGUGCAAAUCAUCCAGCUUGGAGUGUGGGUGGAGCAGGCUGUAUUCAUGUCUUAAGAGUGGGAGGACUGUGUCAUUCCACCCCGAAGUAGGUAAAGGCACGGGAUUGGCUGAACUGGUGUCCAUAAAAAGGCUGUACCUUUGGAAACUUGACAUACAGCUGUGGAGUUUAUCACAUAUUUACACAUAUUUGCUGUGCAGGUCUGUGGAAAUGCACACAAAUAACUGA